AGAUUCACGCACAAACUCG
rnacentral:snRNA from 1 species